AGCGAACGCUGGCGGCAGGCUUAACACAUGCAAGUCGAGCGGGCACUUCGGUGUCAGCGGCAGACGGGUGAGUAACACGUGGGAACGUACCCUUCGGUCCGGAAUAACGCUGGGAAACUAGCGCUAAUACCGGAUACGCCCUUUUGGGGAAAGGUUUACUGCCGAAGGAUCGGCCCGCGUCUGAUUAGCUAGUUGGUGGGGUAAUGGCCUACCAAGGCGACGAUCAGUAGCUGGUCUGAGAGGAUGAUCAGCCACACUGGGACUGAGACACGGCCCAGACUCCUACGGGAGGCAGCAGUGGGGAAUAUUGGACAAUGGGCGCAAGCCUGAUCCAGCCAUGCCGCGUGAGUGAUGAAGGCCUUAGGGUUGUAAAGCUCUUUUGUCCGGGACGAUAAUGACGGUACCGGAAGAAUAAGCCCCGGCUAACUUCGUG
rnacentral:rRNA from 1 species